rnacentral:hammerhead_ribozyme from 1 species
AUCCAGCUGACACGUCCCAAAUAGGAUGAAACACGCGUCCUGGAU